rnacentral:rRNA from 1 species
CCUACGGGCGGCAGCAGUAGGGAAUUUUCGUCAAUGGGCGGAACCCUGACCGAGCAACGCCGCGUGAAGGAAGAAGGAAUUCGUUCUGUAAACUUCUGUUAUAAAGGAAGAAAGACGGAUGGAGGAAAUGACAUCCGAGUGACGGUACUUUAUGAGAAAGCCACGGCUAACUACGUGCCAGCAGCCGCGGUAAUACGUAGGUGGCAAGCGUUAUCCGGAUUUAUUGGGCGUAAAGAGGGAGCAGGCGGCAGCAAAGGUCUGUGGUGAAAGACUGAAGCUAAACUUCAGUAAGCCAUAGAAACCGGGCGGCUCGAGUACAGGCGAGGAUCGUGGAAUACCAUGUGUAGCGGUGAAAUGCGUAGAUAUAUGGAAGAACACCGGUGGCGAAGGCGACGAUCUGGCCUGCAACUGACGCUCAGGCCCGAGAGCGUGGGGAGCAAAUAGGAUUAGAUACCCCAGUAGUC